UCGUAUCUUCUGAUAUCAUAACAUCGAAGAUAAUCCAUGGGCUAAGAUAAAAGAAAUCGGUUAGGAACCUUCUUACUAAGAAUGCUCUUCAUAUCUUAGUACUAUUCUGUCACUCCUCAUUACUACACUCCAACUAUCUCAAUCUCAUAAGUAUAACGCUACUUAAGUAAUCACUAAUGCUACUCUCGACUUGUCGCUCAUAUAGAACUAAACUACAUCAACAAACAAACACAUAGAUAUGCAUACACAUAAGCAAUAUAAAUCCCAAAUUAGUCAUUGGAAAAACUAAUCAAGUUUAAUAACAUCUAUGCAAUCAUACUUCAAAACUUUUUGUAAAAUCGAAAAAUAUUUUUAGUUGGAGAAAAUUUUCCAAAAAUUUAAUGUAGAAAGUCAAAGACACAUAAUAACACAUUCUUAAAUCAUUUAUCCAAUAAUAAUUCACAUUAACAAGUUAUUCCACUUUAUAAUAUUCUUGAUAAACUAAACUCUAGAUUUCUUCGUUGAAAAUUCUCAAAAAAUUCACAUUAAGCUCACAUAAUACACAAUAGCACAAAUGCGUGAUCAAACGACUUAAGAAAAAUUAAACUCGGCUUCCCCUUUUCUCAUCACAUUUGGUCAAGACCUAAAUCCUUAGGGGUUAGUUCGUUUCGUCUCAUAUCGCAUACAUAAGCUCAAUUAAUCAUCAAAUAGCCAUAUAUAAUCAUAUUCAAGACAUAACUCUUCACAUAUGAAAGAUCUCAUACAAAUUAACGUGCAAACUAAACUCGGUGAACUUUCACCAUUUAACAAUGUUACUCAAUUAAAUCAUGCUAUCAUCCUUUAUAAGGUCCAAUUAGCAUAUAGACAUAAAUAAUCUAAACAUUUACCUCAUAAAUCAAACAUACCCAAAUCUUAGUAAACUAAACUCAAGCAAGUUUAUACAUAUCCAUCAAUUAACUAAAUUGAUCAUUAAUGAAUAGUCCUAUCAUGCUUAUAAUCAAUUAACCUUAGCCAAUUUAAUCAUUUAACACAUAAAUUAAAAAGUCUCAAUUUUAAGUAAACUAAACUUUUUGGAAAUCUUUAAUCAUGCAUAAAUCAUCAAUCAAACUUUAGAUCUAUCAAAUUAUCCCACUUAAUUACAUAUAAAAACCAUCAAUUAGCAAAUUAAAGCAUAUAAGCAAAUUUGCCCAAAUUCUAUCAAACUAACUCACAUCAAACUUCACCAAUCGAUCUCAAUCAUUAAUCCAAUCCAUUAAAUAUCAUAUUAGCAUCCUCAAUAACACAUAUCAAUCAUCAAUUCAUCAAUCAAUACUCAAGAUCAAAAAUUCUCAAAAAUAGGUAAACUAAACUAACUCAAAAUCCAUAAUUCAUUUUAAAUCCUUUCUUUGCAUAUAGAAAUAGACUCAAUAGGAUCCUAAUUGCUUAAAUAUCACCUCAAUUUAAGAAAAGAAAAAGAAUUUUUUUUAAGGGCAUGAACCCUAAUUUUCAAAAAUUUUAAAGAAAUAAAAAGGGUGGUGUUUUCUUGCUUGAUCUAUCCAUAUACACUCAUAUCUAACACAAAUAUAACUAGAUCUAAGAAAUUAGAACACUUACUCAAAGAUUUAGAGAGAAAAUGAAAAUUCUUUACUCUAGACUUCAAGCUUUAAUCUCCACCAAUCUUGGUCUUUGAGGCAUGGAGAUGAGUUUUGAUUUGAUUUUAGGUGGAAAUCUAAGUAUAGAGUUGAUCUUAGAAGCUUUGAAGGUCUCAACAAUGGAGGUUCAUGGAAGAGAAAAGAGAGAGAGAUGCGAGAGAGGUGAGGGGCGUGAGGUAUGAGAGGAGAGAGAGAGAAUUUUGAUUUUGCUUAAUCCUAAAGCUUGCUCC
rnacentral:lncRNA from 1 species